AGCACGGUUCAUGAGCAUGCUGAUUGGGUGUUCAUGCCUUAUGCAUGAGGUGUGCUUCCCUCGAACCUUGUUAUGACGUGGGCACAUUACCCGUCUGACA